rnacentral:lncRNA from 1 species
UUUUUCUACUUUUUCCUGUUUUUUCUUCUUUAGCCGGACAGUCUGUCACGCCGGCUAUGCCCCUCAAGGAUAUUUUGCCAAGGAUUUUCGUCGCAUAUUUUCGCUGGGGGUUUACGUUCCACUUCUGGGCAGAAGGCGCUAAGAGUCCGUGGAUUUUUUUCAUAUUAUUGUUACUUUUAUAUCCUACAAUAAAAAAUUUGGUUGGAUUCGAGUUAGUUUUAACGGAAAAAGUGGUUCUCAAAAUUUUCAUACGAAAAGGUCGAGAGUAUCACGACGUUUCGGGGAACGUUCCCAAAAUAACGAAAUACAGCCUAAGUAUCACAGCACCUCUGUCCGUUCGCCGAAGCGCAGCACGGCACUCCCACCUCUCUCGGCACACAUAAUUUCCCUUGAGGGAGAUCGCGGUGGGUACUCGCAGCCUCAACAGACCGAUCGAGAGAGAAAGAGAGAGUCAGGUGGACAGUCGCUCGCCACUGCUCAUCCGCGGAGCCAUCAGCGCGCGACGAGCCCGCACAUAUCGCCGCGACGAUCGAUUAUUAUCUUUCCAAUUUGCAUAGCAACCAAGAGAGAAAGGGAGCAGCGGCUGCCUGUUCAAAUCUGCGGGCGCUGUGUAUCAUCGCUGUACAUAUACACUUUCUCUCGCUCGACCUCACCCCUUUUCAUCGGAGCGAGGCGCGAUCCUGGCGCUUUUUCUUCGUUUUUUCGCAACUCGUUUUCGCGGAUGUCGGCGAGGAACGAGCGCUGAUGAAAAAAGUGCCCGGUACGUGCGAUCGCGCCGAGGGAAAGGGGCGAGACAUUUUUCAGGGGGACGCCGAGAUGAGAGAGCUCGUGGAAAAGGAGGAGGCCUCCGCUGCGUCGAUGAGGCGACACUUUUCGUUUUCUCUUUUAUUUUGUUUUUCUGAGAAUAUACCAGCGGAUCAUCUUGUAAAAAUAUGCGGACAUCGAUAAUCGAAUCAAUCUCUAUCCGCUACACGAUUAAAAACCCGACUGCGUCAAGCUACGUCGAGAGCCUACGCAACGCAGCAGCAGCGAGAUGGACACGGAAAUAAAGAGAAACCGAGCAAAAGCGCGAGAUUAAGCUCCAGCGCUGGAUGGAGAACGAGAAAAAGGGAGAAAUUGCCCGGCGGAAUGCGUUUGCUCAAUUACAUCGCGAGAGCGCGCGCGAUAUUCGACGAGGAAUCUGCUGCGCUGGGAAAGACAAACAACAGCCGCGUCGCCGCUGAAAAAUGAGCAGCGCCGACCCCUUUUUUCUCUCACCGCCUCGUCUAUAAACAAGCACCGGUUCGAUUAUUUCCACUUUCUGGAGUUUCAUUUUUUUUUUCGUUUGCGUAAACAGAACGACACUGACGUCCGUCCAGCGCGUAGUUUUAACGAUCUGCUCAUACGUCGCCGGUGCAGCUUUACUGUCCGCGCGUGAACAUAAACAUCGCUUUUAGUGCUUCUUCACACCAAAAGUAGCAUAAACGCGAGCCUAACGACUCGCAAGACAUCAAUAAUUUUACUGACCUACGUAGGCGCGAAAUUUGCGUCAAGCUAUGCACCUGUCGUCAGAGAUGAACCAGAUUAAUUUAACACAACCGCGCGAUGUUUCUCGCCUCCGUCGAAGAAAACGCGUAUAAAAAACGCGGUCCUAGUGUAAGGAGUCGGCAUUCCGCAAAUAGUAACAAACCGCGCGUACAGCACACCCUCGAGUGAAAAAAUUUCGCCGAAAAAAAAGAAGAAGAAGAAGAGAGGAGGAUCAGGCCUGCGAACAAAACCGCAGAAUGCCAGGGCCACGUUCAUUCUUCUUCGAUUCUCGAGGGUCGCCCUUCGUGCGCGGGAGAGGAGGAGAGGGGGAGCAAAAAUCUUUGACGCGCGCCGCCGCGGCGAAGAAUCAUUAAUAACUUUUAGCCGGCAGAUUUCGCGCGUAUUAAUCCGCAAGCGUUCUCUUUCUCUUCAUUUUCUUGCGGUGGCGCUGAGUCGACGACGCGCGACGUUGCUGCUACUGCUGCUGCUGGCUUAAUGAAAAAUCCGAGGCGCGAACGAUUUUUCCUCGAGGGUGAGAUAUAGCUUGAAAUGCAAUAUGUUAAACUCUUGCAGCUGCCACAACUUCGUGUGAAAUAAUAAUCUGUCGGUUCCCGGACUCCGUGGCGUCUUCCCUUGUCAGUAUGCGGCAAAGAAAACUCCUAAUUAUCACCGAUAAAAAGAAGAAAAUUUCUCGGGAGGCCCCCGGGACACAACUAUUAGCAGUUUGGUCUUCUAAUUGUGCACGAAAUUUGCGAGGCAGGAAAAAGGGAUGUAGUCGGCAGAAGACGACGAGUAGAGACGACGCUUCAUUUCGACUUGUCGCAGUUUGUUAAUUUCCGUGAUACUCGCACGAGAGCACGUAAUCCGAGAGGCUGGCUUGGAAUUCUUAGACCGAGAGGGGGCUGCGGAAGCAAAUUGUGCAUUAUGGAGCUUUGUGCGUUGUCUUGGAAGAUUAUCGGGUUUAAUUUGCUACGUCACGGAAUAGUUAUUUUAUCGUCUCUUCGCAACAAGACAAUUUGUCUAAGACAAUAUUAUACACUAAACGUACAUUUCUACCCUUCUAAAAGUGCAUAAUUCGAUUCGAUAAAAACUCGACAAACGAGUGCAAUAAAAAUGUUUCCAGAAAAAGUU